UAAUGGUCGCGCCGCUGAGUUUAUAAGGAAGAGGGUUUAUAAGGAUAAGAGUAGGUGCUACGAGUGCGGCGCAAUUGAUGGGCAUUUGUCUUAUGAAUGCCCUAAAAAUCAAUUGGGCCAAGGGAGCGACCAGAACCGAAGCGGGUAAGAAGGGGUGGAGUUGGUGCUAGGCACGAGGAGGAUUGGGGAUCGGAUGUUGGAGAAGGGUUUGAGGAUGACAAUUGGGCCUCGGUGGUGGACGGAGAUGCAGACCAGAGACUCCUGACUGGCGGUGAGAACAUUGUAGAGAAGAAAAAAGAGAAGAAAGCAAGUUAUUUCAGUGACGAGAGCGACGAAGAUGAUUAACUGAGCCUGUCUCUUUGGGAAGAGUUUGUAAAAGGCUACAUUAAGAUAUAUCAAGGUUGGAGACCAAAGUUGAGAGGCUAAAGUCGGUAGUACAAGUUAAAGAUAGGGAGAUUGCAACAGUUACACGAAUAGAAGCCAAAGGUAAGGCUGCUUUUAAAGCUCAAAUUGACAAGCUACAGUAGGAAAAUGUUGAACUCCAGAGAAGGGUUAUUGGCAAUCAGCAAGUAAGAACUCAACAAAUACAUGAGAUGAAGAAGAAAGAAAAGGAGUACAUCAAAUUGCAGGCUACAUUAAGAUAUAUCAAGGUUGGAGACCAAAGUUGAGAGGCUAAAGUCGGUAGUACAAGUUAAAGAUAUGGAGAUUGCAACAGUUACACGAAUAGAAGCCAAAGGUAAGGCUGCUUUUAAAGCUCAAAUUGACAAGCUACAGUAGGAAAAUGUUGAACUCCAGAGAAGGGUUAUUGGCAAUCAGCAAGUAGGAACUCAACAAAUACAUGAGGUGAAGAAGAAAGAAAAGGAGUACAUCAAAUUGUGUGUGAGAUACCUUUUAGUUAUUUUUCGGUUCUAGGCUCAAGUUGGAUUCAGAAAGAAGGGUGACGACGUGGAACUUGGAAUGGCAAGAAAACUGAUAACGAUUUCUAUAAAAGGAUAGUGGAUGCUUAUGAAGUUAAAAUUCAAGAAUUGACGUCAGAGAAUGCUGAUUUAAAGACAUUGACCAGUAAAUGCAGGUUUGCAACAAUUUUGUUAUUGUCUGUGUUUUAAGUUUACUAAAUUUUUAUCAAAUAAAUUUUGGAAGGGGUGGUGAGCAUGCAAUAAAACAAGUUUGUAGAAUGCAUCUAUUCCGUCUUAUUAAUUUUGUGAUAUUGAGGUUUUUUGCCAUUCUUUUAUUGAAUUAUUUUUGUGAAUUUUAAUUCUUGAAGUUCAUUGUUUUAUUGGUUUAUUUGAUAGACAAAAAAACCCCCUAAAUUUGUAUCAGAUAUGGUUUUAGUAA